GAUGAACGCUGGCGGCGUGCCUAAUACAUGCAAGUCGAGCGAACAGACGAGGAGCUUGCUCCUCUGACGUUAGCGGCGGACGGGUGAGUAACACGUGGAUAACCUACCUAUAAGACUGGGAUAACUUCGGGAAACCGGAGCUAAUACCGGAUAAUAUAUUGAACCGCAUGGUUCAAUAGUGAAAGACGGUUUUGCUGUCACCUAUAGAUGGAUCCGCGCCGCAUUAGCUAGUUGGUAAGGUAACGGCUUACCAAGGCAACGAUGCGUAGCCGACCUGAGAGGGUGAUCGGCCACACUGGAACUGAGACACGGUCCAGACUCCUACGGGAGGCAGCAUUAGGGAAUCUUCCGCAAUGGGCGAAAUCCUGACGGAGCAACGCCGCGUGAGUGAUGAAGGUCUUCGGAUCGUAAAACUCUGUUAUUAGGGAAGAACAAAUGUGUAAGUAACUAUGCACGUCUUGACGGUACCUAAUCAGAAAGCCACGGCUAACUACGUG
rnacentral:rRNA from 1 species